rnacentral:rRNA from 1 species
AUUGAACGCUGGCGGAAUGCUUUACACAUGCAAGUCGAACGGCAGCACGGGUGCUUGCACCUGGUGGCGAGUGGCGAACGGGUGAGUAAUACAUCGGAACGUACCCAGUCGUGGGGGAUAACGUAGCGAAAGUUACGCUAAUCCCGCAUACGUCCUGCGGGAGAGAGCGGGGGACCGUACGGCCUCGCGCGAUUGGAGCGGCCGAUGGAGGAUUAGCUAGUUGGGGGGGUAAAGGCCUACCAAGGCGACGAUCCGUAGCGGGUCUGAGAGGACGGCCCGCCACACUGGAACUGAGACACGGUCCAGACUCCUACGGGAGGCAGCAGUGGGGAAUUUUGGACAAUGGGCGAAAGCCUGAUCCAGCCAUUCCGCGUGAGUGAAGAAGGCCUUCGGGUUGUAAAGCUCUUUCGGCAGGGAAGAAACGGCUUGGGAUAAUACCCCGGGCUAAUGACGGUACCUGAAGAAGAAGCACCGGCUAACUACGUGCCAGCAGCCGCGGUAA